rnacentral:rRNA from 1 species
CCUACGGGAGGCAGCAGUGGGGAAUUUUGGACAAUGGGGGCAACCCUGAUCCAGCCAUGCCGCGUGUGUGAAGAAGGCCUUCGGGUUGUAAAGCACUUUCGGCCGGAACGAAAUCGUCCCCGCCAAUACCGGGGAUGGAUGACGGUACCGGAGGAAGAAGCACCGGCUAACUACGUGCCAGCAGCCGCGGUAAUACGUAGGGUGCGAGCGUUAAUCGGAAUUACUGGGCGUAAAGUGUGCGCAGGUGGCCGCGCAAGUCGAGUGUGAAAGCCCCGGGCUUAACCUGGGAAUUGCGCUCGAAACUACGUGGCUAGAGUGUGGCAGAGGAAGGUGGAAUUCCACGUGUAGCGGUGAAAUGCGUAGAGAUGUGGAGGAACACCAAUGGCGAAGGCAGCCUUCUGGGCCAACACUGACGCUCAUGCACGAAAGCGUGGGGAGCAAACAGGAUUAGAUACCCUGGUAGUCCACGCCCUAAACGAUGAUGACUAGUUGUUGGGGGAGUUAAAUCCCUUAGUAACGCAGCUAACGCGUGAAGUCAUCCGCCUGGGGAGUACGGUCGCAAGAUUAAAACUCAAAGGAAUUGACGG